UACGGGGGGGGCAAGCGUUGUUCGGAAUUACUGGGCGUAAAGGGCGCGUAGGCGGCCUGCUAAGUCGGACGUGAAAUCCCUCGGCUCAACCGAGGAACUGCGUCCGAUACUGGUGGGCUUGAAUCCGGGAGAGGGAUGUGGAAUUCCAGGUGUAGCGGUGAAAUGCGUAGAUAUCUGGAGGAACACCGGUGGCGAAGGCGGCAUCCUGGACCGGUAUUGACGCUUAGGAGCGAAAGCUAGGGGAGCAAUCGGG
rnacentral:rRNA from 1 species